ACAGCAGCCUCUCUCAUUUUUUCGCAGGUGUUCAUGUGGCGCAUUGCUCUCCUCUCUCCUCCCGGGGACGGCGGGUCUUCUUCAUCCUCUCCAUCUUCUCCAUCCUCUGCUUCUGCAACCUCCCUCGUCGUCAUGCUCGGUUGAUGGUGCACGGAUGCGAAGUCAAUGCGUGCACGGCCACGCGUAAGAGCGAGAAGAAGACGGGUGAAGGAGAAGGAGAAGAAGAAAAAAAAAGAAAGAAAGAAAAAACCCCCACAACCCACGGUGUCACCAAAAAACCUUGGGCGGGAUUCCAUCGUCGUUGCGCACCCGGCGACGGGAAGUUCGAGGAGCUUCAUAGACUUGUUUUUUUUCCCCUUACCGUCUUUUUUCCUGUCUCUGCGUCUCUUCCCUGCACUGCGAUCCUUGCACACGCGUGGGAUUUAUUGGAAAUACAAACCGAACCUCAUGCGCAUUGGUCCUUGAACGCAUCACCGGGCGCAAAGAAGCUCCUUUUUUGGGGGGGGAUUGUUUUAAUCCUCAUCCAAAAAAAAAAAAAACAUAAUUGACACAGCAGGUGACACUUUUGGAUCUUUCAGAUUUGCUUCAAUAAACUGCCUUUUAUUUUUAAUUUUUAAUUUAUUUUUUGAACCACCAUCAUCUUGGAGGGAAUUUGGAAUAAAUGAACUCUGAGCAUCAACUCUUCAUUAGAGUUACUUUGGUGACUUCAUUAAAACCAACACCGACGGCAUGUUGUUACAUUUGCCUAAUUUCCAGGCAGCGGGAGGCUUUUAAAGUGAAGAAACAUGAGAACAACAGCGGCUACCUUCAAUUGAAGCCCCAGGAAAAGUAUCCCGAGCGGCGCGAUUGUGCGGUGGUGCUUUUUUGGUGACACGCUACCAUACCACCCCGAGUGGGGAGUCGGCAUCCAGCUCCACGGGACACUGACGCGAGACCCGCAAUGGAGACCACAGCUUGAUAUUUCUGG